rnacentral:rRNA from 1 species
UACGAAAGGGGCUAGCGUUGUUCGGAAUUACUGGGCGUAAAGCGCACGUAGGUGGAUUUAUAAGUUAGGGGUGAAAUCCCGGGGCUCAACUCCGGAAUUGCCUUUGAUACUGUAUAGCUUGAGGACGGGAGAGGUGAGUGGAAUUCCGAGUGUAGAGGUGAAAUUCGUAGAUAUUAGGAAGAACACCAGUGGCGAAGGCGGCUCGCUGGCCCGGUACUGACGCUCAUCUGCGAAAGCGUGGGAGCAAACAGG